rnacentral:rRNA from 1 species
CCUACGGGAGGCAGCAGUUUCGAAUCGUUCACAAUGGGGGCAACCCUGAUGGCGCGACGCCGCGUGGGGGAUGAAGGUCUUCGGAUUGUAAACUCCUGUCAUUGGGGACUAACGGCCAGGCUCAUACCCUGGUUUGAAUUAACCCAAAGAGGAAGCAGUGGCUAACUCUGUGCCAGCAGCCGCGGUAAUACAGAGACUGCAAGCGUUACUCGGAUUCACUGGGCGUAAAGGGAGCGCAGGCGGAUUAGUGUGUCAGGCGUGAAAUCCCGGGGCUCAACCCCGGUACCGCGCCCGAAACUACUAAUCUAGAGACUUGGAGGGGUAAGCGGAAUUCUUGGUGGAGCAGUGAAAUGCGUAGAUAUCAAGAGGAACACCAACGGCGAAGGCAGCUUACUGGACAAGAUCUGACGCUCAGGCUCGAAAGCGUGGGGAGCAAAAGGGAUUAGAUACCCCUGUAGUCCACGCUGUAAACGGUGCGCAUUAGGUCUUGGAGCUUUCGAACGCUCCAGGGCUCAAGCUAACGCAUUAAAUGCGCCGCCUGAGGACUAACGGCCGCAAGGCUAAAACUUAAAUUGAAUUGACGG